UACGUAGGUGGCGAGCGUUGUCCGGAUUUAUUGGGUUUAAAGGGUGCGUAGGCGGCCCUAUAAGUCAGUGGUGAAAUAUCGCAGCUUAACUGUGAGGGUGCCAUUGAUACUGUAGGGCUUGAGUGGAUUUGAGGUAGGCGGAAUUGACGGUGUAGCGGUGAAAUGCUUAGAUAUCGUCAAGAACACCGAUAGUGAAGACAGCUUACCAAGCUUCAACUGACGCUGAGGCACGAAAGUGUGGGGAUCAAACAGG
rnacentral:rRNA from 1 species